CCUACGGGUGGCAGCAGUGAGGAAUAUUGGUCAAUGGACGAGAGUCUGAACCAGCCAAGUAGCGUGAAGGAUGACUGCCCUAUGGGUUGUAAACUUCUUUUAUAUGGGAAUAAAACGUUCCACGUGUGGGAUUUUGUAUGUACCAUAUGAAUAAGGAACGGCUAACUCCGUGCCAGCAGCCGCGGUAAUACGGAGGAUCCGAGCGUUAUCCGGAUUUAUUGGGUUUAAAGGGAGCGUAGGUGGAUUGUUAAGUCAGUUGUGAAAGUUUGCGGCUCAACCGUAAAAUUGCAGUUGAAACUGGCAGUCUUGAGUACAGUAGAGGUGGGCGGAAUUCGUGGUGUAGCGGUGAAAUGCUUAGAUAUCACGAAGAACUCCGAUUGCGAAGGCAGUUCACUAGACUGCAACUGACACUGAGGCUCGAAAGUGUGGGUAUCAAACAGGAUUAGAUACCCCUGUAGUC
rnacentral:rRNA from 1 species